AUUUCCUCUAAGUAUUCUCUAAUAAGCUGAAACAUCUGUUCUUAUCAGCUUAACAUCUGUUACAUUCUGCAUCACAGAACUAGAAUAUUAAACACAUUUUUUUAUCUCAUGAUGGAGUGAUAAGAGCAUUCUCAACCUCUGUCACAAGAUGCCUCCUCACUUUCGGCUCUAUCAAAGUAGCCAGA